CAAUAAAUGCCAACCUGCCUCCCAGUCGUCCCCUCCUUAUCUUUACAAGGCUGCAGAACAUGAAAGCUAGUGAUGUGGGGGUUCUCUCAUAACCCUCAGUCCCCAGGUGGGUAGAUGGCAGGUUGAAUAAAGAGAAGCUAGUGAUGUGGGGGUUCUCUCAUAACCCUCAGUCCCCAGGUGGGUAGAUGGCAGGUUGAAUAAAGAGAAGCUAGUGAUGUGGGGGUUCUCUCAUAACCCUCAGUCCCCAGGUGGGUAGAUGGCAGGUUGAAUAAAGAGAAGCUAGUGAUGUGGGGGUUCUCUCAUAACCCUCAGUCCCCAGGUGGGUAGAUGGCAGGUUGAAUAAAUAGAAAACAAUAGGCUACAUAAAACAAUCCAUAAAUGUAUCAUUAUUAUGUAAUUAACACAAAACAUUAAGGACACCUUUCUUUCCAUGACAAACUGACCAGGCGUAACUCAAUAUUAGGAAGGUAUCCUUAAUAUUUUGUCCACUCAGUGGCUCUGACCCUUUACGUAACAG
rnacentral:lncRNA from 1 species